rnacentral:pre_miRNA from 1 species
GUAGCGGUAACUACCGCAAUUAAAAUAGCUGUAACGUCCGCUAUCAAGGUAGCUGUAACUUCCGCUAUUAAGAUAGCAGUUACAGCUAUCUUGAUAGCGGAAGUUACAGCUAUCUUGAUAGCGGAAGUUACUGCUAUCUUGACUGCGGUAGUUACCGCUAU